UACGAAGGGUGCAAACGUUGCUCGGAAUUAUUGGGCGUAAAGCGCACGUAGGCGGCUUGGCAAGUCGGAUGUGAAAUCCCUCGGCUCAACCAAGGAAGUGCAUCCGAAACUGCUGAGCUUGAGUACUUAAGAGGAUCGCGGAAUCCCGGGUGUAGAGGUGAAAUUCGUAGAUAUCGGGAGGAACACCAGUGGCGAAGGCGGC
rnacentral:rRNA from 1 species